CCAGCAGCUGCGGUAAUUCCAGCUCCAAUAGCGUAUAUUUAAGUUGCUGCAGUUAAAAAGCUCGUAGUCGGAUUUCGGGUGGGGCCCGUCGGUCCGCCGUUUCGGUGUGCACUGUCGGGGCCCACCUUGUUGUCGGGGACGGGCUCCUGGGCUUCACUGUCCGGGACCCGGAGUCGGCGAGGUUACUUUGAGUAAAUUAGAGUGUUCAAAGCAGGCCUACGCUCUGAAUACAUUAGCAUGGAAUAACACGAUAGGACUCUGGCCUAUCCUGUUGGUCUGUAGGACCGGAGUAAUGAUUGAGAGGGACAGUCGGGGGCAUUCGUAUUUCAUUGUCAGAGGUGAAAUUCUUG
rnacentral:rRNA from 1 species